rnacentral:rRNA from 1 species
AGUGGGGAAUAUUGCACAAUGGGCGGAAGCCUGAUGCAGCGACGUCGCGUGAGGGAUGGAGGCCUUCGGGUUGUGAACCUCUUUCGCCAGUGAGGAAGGCCUUGCCUGUGUGGUGGGGUUGACGGUAGCUGGGUUAAUUGAAGCGCCGGCUAACUACGUGCCAGCAGCCGCGGUAAUACGUAGGGCGCGAGCGUUGUCCGGAAUUAUUGGGCGUAAAGGGCUUGUAGGCGGUUGGUCGCGUCUGCCGUGAAAUCCUCUGGCUCAGCUGGGGGCGUGCGGUGGGUACGGGCUGGCUUGAGUGCGGUAGGGGAGGCUGGAACUCCUGGUGUAGCGGUGGAAUGCGCAGAUAUCAGGAGGAACACCGGUGGCGAAGGCGGGUCUCUGGGCCGUUACUGACGCUGAGGAGCGAAAGCGUGGGGAGCGAA